rnacentral:rRNA from 1 species
UACGGGGGGGGCAAGCAUUGUUCGGAAUUACUGGGCGUAAAGGGCUCGUAGGCGGCCAACUAAGUCGGACGUGAAAUCCCCAGGCUUAACCUGGGAACUGCAUUCGAGACUGCAUUGCUAGAGUAUGGGAGAGGGAGGUGGAAUUUCCGGUGUAGCGGUGAAAUGCGUAGAUAUCGGAAGGAACAUCAGUGGCGAAAGCGGUCUGCUGGGCCGUUGCUGACGCUGAGGCGCGACAGCGUGGGGAGCAAACAGG